rnacentral:rRNA from 1 species
UACGUAGGGUGCAAGCGUUAAUCGGAAUUACUGGGCGUAAAGCGUGCGCAGGCGGUUCGCUAAGACAGAUGUGAAAUCCCCGGGCUUAACCUGGGAACUGCAUUUGUGACUGGCGGGCUAGAGUAUGGCAGAGGGGGGGUAGAAUUCCACGUGUAGCAGUGAAAUGCGUAGAGAUGUGGAGGAAUACCGAUGGCGAAGGCAGCCCCCUGGGCCAAUACUGACGCUCAUGCACGAAAAGCGUGGGG